GGGGGGGGGGGGGGGGGGGGGGGGGGGGGGCGGGUGGGGCGGUGGAGGGUGGUGCUUGUACGAACUGGAUGGGCAGCGAACGGGUGAGUACCGGGUGGGGCAUCGGCCUUUGAGCGGGGGCCAGCCUUUGGAAACGAAUGCUGAUGCGGCCUCCAACCUUUCAACACAAGUUUUAAGUUUGAAAGAUGCCAUUGCAUCACUCAAAGAUGAUCCCGCGUUGUAUUAGCUAGUUGGUGAGGUAAAGGCUCACCAAGGCGAUGAUACAUAGCCGACCUGAGAGGGGGAUCGGCCACAUUGGGACUGAGACACGGCCCAAACUCCUACGGGAGGCAGCAGUAGGGAAUCUUCGGCAAUGGACGAAAGUCUGACCGAGCAACGCCGCGUGAGUGAAGAAGGUUUUCGGAUCGUAAAACUCUGUUGGUAGAGAAGAACGUUGGUGAGAGUGGAAAGCUCAUCAAGUGACGGUAACUACCCAGAAAGGGACGGCUAACUACGUG
rnacentral:rRNA from 1 species